rnacentral:miRNA from 1 species
AGGUGGGAGGAUCGCUUGAGCCAGGAAGAUGGAGGUUGCAGUGAGCCGAGAUCAAGCCACUGCACUCCAGCGUGGGCAACAGAGUGAGACCCUGUCUC